rnacentral:lncRNA from 1 species
AAAACUGCAUUUGGGGAUCACCUCUGGCCCCUUAUUCUGCCUGUCUAGCCCUGGGCCCCAUGGAGUCCCUAACGCAUCCUUGCUUCUACUAAGGGUGCAGUUUUCGCUCCUAAGACAGUGGACAUAACUUUAAUUACCCAAGGUCCUCAGCAACCCUUUCCCCAUUUUCCUCCAAUACUUUGCCAACUUUUCUGUUGUUUGAGUUUUAUUGCUAAUCACUUAAAUUAGAGAAACAGAUUAGCAAAGGAGUUAAUAAAAUAUAUAAUG